rnacentral:rRNA from 1 species
AGAGUUUGAUCCUGGCUCAGGAUGAAUGCUGGCGGUGUGCCUUAAGCAUGCAAGUCGAGCGAUCCGCCUCGGCGGAUAGCGGCAGACGGGUGAGUAACACGUAGGAAUCUACCUCAAACUGGGGAAUAGCCCUCCGAAAGGAGGGGUAAUACCGCAUGUGUCCGCAAGGAUAAAGCAGCAAUGCGGUUUGAGAGGAGCCUGCGCACUAUCAGCUAGUUGGUGGGGUAAUGGCCUACCAAGGCUAUGACGGUUAACCGAUGUGAGAGCAUGAUCGGUCACAAGGUCACUGAGACACGGGACCUACACCUACGGGUGGCAGCAACUGGGAAUCUUGCGCAAUGGGCGAAAGCCUGACGCAGCGACACCGCGUGUGGGAAGAAGCAUUUAGGUGUGUAAACCACUGUGGCGAGGGAACAAUCUAUGAGGGUACCUCGCUAGAAAGCACCUGCUAACUACGUGCCAGAAGCCUCGGUAAUACGUAGGGUGCAAGCAUUAUCCGGAUUUACUGGGCGUAAAGUGUAUCGUCGGCGUUGAGGUAAGUUGCUUGUUUAAGCCUAGGGCUCAACUCUAGAUCAGCAAGCAAAACUAUCACAAUUGAGUAUGUUCGAGGGAACUGGAACACUCGGUGGAGGGGUGAAAUCCGUAGAUAUCGAGUGGAACACCAAUGGCGAAGGCAGGUUCCUAGGGCAUUACUGACGCUCAUGAACGACAGCUAGGGUAGCAAAAGGGAUUAGAGACCCCUGUAGUCCUAGCCGUAAACUAUGGAUGCUAGAUGGCCCCGCUCUGCGGGUCUGUCGUAAGCUAACGCGUUAAGCAUCCCGCCUGGGGAUUACGACCGCAAGGUUAAAACUCAAAGGAAUUGACGGGGGAGCGCACAACCGGUGGAGCAUGUGGUUUAAUUCGAGACGAAGCGAAAAACCUUACCCAGACUUGACAUGUACCUGCACGAUUAGGGAAACUUAAUCUUCUUCGAGAGUGGUACACAGGUGAUGCAUGGCUGUCGUCAGCUCGUGUCGUGAGGCGUCCGCUUAAGUGCGGUAACGAGCGCAACCCUUGUCCCGAGUUAUAAGUGUCUCGGGAGACUGCCCUGCGUAUAGCAGGGAGGAAGGAGAGGACGACGUCAAGUCAGCAUGUCCCUUACGUCUGGGGCUACACACAUCCUACAAUGGAGCCGACAACGGGUUGCGACAGGGUAACCUCGAGCUAAUCCUUAUAAACGGCCCCUCAGUUCAGAUUGAGGGCUGCAAUUCGCCCUCAUGAAGUUGGAAUCGGUAGUAAUCGCAGGUCAGCAGACUGCGGUGAAUACGUUCUCGCUCCUUGUACACACUGCCCGUCAAGUCAGCAAAGUUGGCAGCGCCCGAAGCGGAUGAUCCUAACUCGCAAGAGAUGGACUCUUCUACGGUGAGGUCAGCGAUGAGGACUAAGUCGUAACAAGGUAACC